rnacentral:lncRNA from 1 species
GGAGCAAAAACACGCAAACUUUGACUGCGGGUCGGGUCGACGCGCGGGUAGGAGGGGACAAGGACCAAAACGGUGCCGUUUUAGGGCUAUUGGAUCAGCUCUAAACGGCGUUGUAUCGCCCGGCCUAUAAAGGGUAAAAAAAAUAAAAAAAAGUAAUUAUUCUCUUCAUUUUAAAAAAAAAGGCUGAACCUCUCUCUCUCUCUCUCCC